UAAAUACACACAACCUAAAGAAAAGUUGAGGCAACUUUAAUAAGAUUGUUUCAGAAGAGAUCAGACAGGUCUAAUCCAUUGAAACAAACAACAUUUUCCAAAAGACAAAACAUCCUUGGCUCACUCAACACAGCCAGUCUCAAGCUAUUACCCAUUUGCCUGGAAACAUGUGGGUCAGUUCAAUUUUCCCUUAAUUGAACCACUAAUUGAAGCUUAAAUUGGAAAUGUAACAAAGAUAAUAUCCAAGUUCAAGGAAUGAUAAUCACUGAAACUGGCUUUCAGAUAACCAAAGCUUCCAUCAGGAUAUCAUUUGAUGUAAAUAGUGAAGCAG
rnacentral:lncRNA from 1 species